rnacentral:rRNA from 1 species
GUCUCCGUAGGUGAACCUGCGGAGGGAUCAUUACACAAAUAUGAAGGCGGGCUGGAACCUCUCGGGGUUACAGCCUUGCUGAAUUAUUCACCCUUGUCUUUUGCGUACUUCUUGUUUCCUUGGUGGGUUCGCCCACCACUAGGACAAACAUAAACCUUUUGUAAUUGCAAUCAGCGUCAGUAACAAAUUAAUAAUUACAACUUUCAACAACGGAUCUCUUGGUUCUGGCAUCGAUGAAGAACGCAGCGAAAUGCGAUAAGUAGUGUGAAUUGCAGAAUUCAGUGAAUCAUCGAAUCUUUGAACGCACAUUGCGCCCUUUGGUAUUCCAAAGGGCAUGCCUGUUCGAGCGUCAUUUGUACCCUCAAGCUUUGCUUGGUGUUGGGCGUCUUGUCUCUAGCUUUGCUGGAGACUCGCCUUAAAGUAAUUGGCAGCCGGCCUACUGGUUUCGGAGCGCAGCACAAGUCGCACUCUCUAUCAGCAAAGGUCUAGCAUCCAUUAAGCCUUUUUUUCAACUUUUGAUCUCGGAUCAGGUAGGGAUACCCGCUGAACUUAAGCAUAUCA